CGUUUACUUUGAAAAAAUUGGAGUGCUCAAAGCAAGCGUACAGUCGCUAUGCGGCUUGAACAGUGGUGCAUGGAAUAAUGGAAUAGGGCCUCGGUUCUAUUUUGUUGGUUUUCAGAUAUCGAGGUAAUGAUUAAGAGGGACAGUCGGGGACAUUUGUAUUGCGACGUUAGAGGUGAAAUUCUUGGAUCGUCGCAAGACACACUAAUGCGAAAGCAUUUGUCUAGCAUGUUUUCAUUGAUCAAGAACGAAAGUUAGAGGUUCGAAGGCGAUCAGAUACCGCCCUAGUUCUAACCAUAAACGAUGCCAACCAGCGAUCCGUCGGUGUUCUCAAUUAUGAAUGACCUGACGGGCAGCUUCCGGGAAACCAAAGUUUUCGGGUUCCGGGGGAAGUAUGGUUGCAAAGCUGAAACUUAAAGGAAUUGACGGAAGGGCACCACCAGGAGUGGAGCCUGCGGCUUAAUUUGA
rnacentral:rRNA from 1 species